rnacentral:rRNA from 1 species
GCACAACGCGAAGAACCUUACCUACUCUUGUAUCCUCUUUUCGACUUUCAGAGAUGAUUGUCUUCGGUUCGGCCGGGAGAGUGACAGGUGCUGCAUGGCUGUCGUCAGCUCGUGUCGUGAGAUGUUGGGUUAAGUCCCGCAACGAGCGCAACCCUCAUCGUAUGUUGCCAUCAGGUAAUGCUGGGCACUCGUGCGAGACCGCCGGUGAUAAGCCGGAGGAAGGUGGGGACGACGUCAAGUCAUCAUGGCCCUUACGAGUAGGGCUACAAACGUGCUACAAUGGUGGUGACAGUGAGCAGCCACUCCGCAAGGAGGAGCUAAUCUCUAAAAGCCAUCUCAGUUCAGAUUGUCCUCUGCAACUCGAGGGCAUGAAGUUGGAAUCGCUAGUAAUCGUGGAUCAGCAUGCCACGGUGAAUACGUUCCCGGGUCUUGUACACACCGGAGGUCGGUGGGGGAGGGCAAGGGGCACGACAGGGGGGGAUA